AGUGAACGCUGGCGGUAGGCCUAACACAUGCAAGUCGAACGGCAGCACAGUAAGAGCUUGCUCUUACGGGUGGCGAGUGGCGGACGGGUGAGGGAUACAUCGGAAUCUACUUUUUCGUGGGGGAUAACGUAGGGAAACUUACGCUAAUACCGCAUACGACCUACGGGUGAAAGCAGGGGAUCUUCGGACCUUGCGCGAUUGAAUGAGCCGAUGUCGGAUUAGCUAGUUGGCGGGGUAAAGGCCCACCAAGGCGACGAUCCGUAGCUGGUCUGAGAGGAUGAUCAGCCACACUGGAACUGAGACACGGUCCAGACUCCUACGGGAGGCAGCAGUGGGGAAUAUUGGACAAUGGGCGCAAGCCUGAUCCAGCCAUACCGCGUGGGUGAAGAAGGCCUUCGGGUUGUAAAGCCCUUUUGUUGGGAAAGAAAAGCAGCAGGUUAAUACCCCGCUGUUCUGGCGGUACCCAAAGAAUAAGCACCGGCUAACUUCGUG
rnacentral:rRNA from 1 species